AAGUCGUAACAAGGUUUCCGUAGGUGAACCUGCGGAAGGAUCAUUAUUGAAUUAUGUUUUCUUGAUGGGUUGUCGCUGGCUCUUUGGAGCAUGUGCACGCCUGUCUUGACUUCAUUCAUCCACCUGUGCACUAUUUGUAGUCUUUGGGGUGCUGACAAGUGGCCGACUGUCAGGAAAGGCAUCUUUCCUGGGAUAUGAAGAUUGCAGUGUGAAAGCACGGCUCACUUCUACUGGUCAUGAACCACCCCCAGGGUCUAUGUAUCUUAUUCAUAUACUAUGUAGUAUGUUGCAGAAUGUCUCAUGGGCCUUUGUGCCUAUAAAAUCAUAUACAACUUUCAGCAACGGAUCUCUUGGCUCUC
rnacentral:misc_RNA from 1 species